AUUGAACGCUGGCGGAAUGCUUUACACAUGCAAGCCGAACGGCAGCACGGACUUCGGUCUGGUGGCGAGUGGCGAACGGGUGAGUAAUGUAUCGGAACGUGCCCAGUCGUGGGGGAUAACGUAGUGAAAAUUACGCUAAUACCGCAUACGAUCUAUGGAUGAAAGCGGGGGAUCGCAAGACCUCGCGCGAUUGGAGCGGCCGAUACCAGAUUAGGUAGUUGGUGGGGUAAAGGCCCACCAAGCCAACGAUCUGUAGCUGGUCUGAGAGGACGACCAGCCACACUGGAACGGAGACACGGUCCAGACUCCUACGGGAGGCAGCAGUGGGGAAUUUUGGACAAUGGGCGAAAGCCUGAUCCAGCCAUUCCGCGUGCAGGAUGAAGGCCCUCGGGUUGUAAACUGCUUUUGUACAGAACGAAAAGGUUUCUACUAAUACUAGGAGCUCAUGACGGUACUGUAAGAAUAAGCACCGGCUAACUACGUGCCAGCCGCCGCGGUAA
rnacentral:rRNA from 1 species